GACGAACGCUGGCGGCGUGCUUAACACAUGCAAGUGGAGCGACGAACCGGGGCUUGCCCCGGGGCACAGCCGCGAACGGGCGAGUAACACGUGGGUAACCCACCUCGAUGACCGGGACAACCCGAGGAAACUCGGGCUAAUACCGGAUGUGCUCCUUCACCUCCAGGAGAAGGAGGAAAGAUAGCUUCGGCCUUCGCAUCGAGACGGGCCCGCGGCCCAUUAGCUUGUUGGUGGGGUAACGGCCUACCAAGGCUGCGAUGGGUAGCUGGUCUGAGAGGACGAUCAGCCACACUGGGACUGAGACACGGCCCAGACUCCUACGGGAGGCAGCAGUGGGGAAUCUUGCACAAUGCGCGAAAGCGUGAUGCAGCAACGCCGCGUGGGGGAAGAAGGCCUUCGGGUUGUAAACCCCUUUCAGUUGGGACGAAGCUUCGCCGGUUAAUAGCCGGCCGGAGUGACGGUACCUUCAGAAGAAGCCCCGGCUAACUACGUGCCAGCCGCCGCAGUAAUAC
rnacentral:rRNA from 1 species